AUGUGUUGCAGAACAAUGACAUUGCCAAAAUCGUCCCUGUGGUUUUAUAUUUGCCAGUUUCAUCCAAAUAUCCUCAACUUAACAGAAAAAAUUAAACUAAGUUAGUGGUUUGGAUGAAAAUGACAAAAAGUUACAAACGUUGGAGGCAAUUUGGUACAAAAGUCUUAUUUUGGACAAAAAUGACACACAUGUCCAAACCUCAGGGACAAUUUUGGCAAUUAACUCUUUAAUAGGAUUUGUAACAAUACAGAAAGAAAAAACAAAACCAUGUUUUGACAACAAAAUACCGCAACCUUUUUUUAGCAUAAAAUUUAAUAAGAUAUGAAAUUUCAUAGGAUUUCAUAGAACAGCUACAACUCUUCCAUAACAUUGUCAUAAGGCUUGUAACAUCUUUAGCUGCUUGAAGUAACGCAGUGUUCCAAGACUCCAUUACCAUUCACCGCCCCC
rnacentral:lncRNA from 1 species